UCAAAAAAACAAUCUCAGUUCAGACUGCAGGCUGCAACUCGCCUGCACGAAGUCGGAAUUGCUAGUAAUCGUAGGUCAGCAUACUACGGUGAAUACGUUCCCGGGCCUUGUACACACCGCCCGUCAAACCAUGAGAGUUGGCAACACCCGAAGUCGGUAGUCUAACCGCAAGGAGGACGCCGCCGAAGGUGGGGUUGAUGAUUAGGGUUAAGUCGUAACAAGGUACC
rnacentral:rRNA from 1 species